rnacentral:rRNA from 1 species
AUGCUAUACUGUGCUUGCAGGCUGAUUGCUCUCUGCAUUCAGAAAUUUCAUGCUAUAUGUGCCUAUUUUUGCAGGCUGAUUGCUCUCUGCAUUCUGAAAAUUCAUGCUAUAUGUGCCUGUGUUUGCAGGCUGAUUGCUCUCUGCAUUCAGAAAUUUCAUGCUAUAUGUGCCUAUUUUUGCAGGCUGAUUGCUCUCUGCAUUCUGAAAAUUCAUGCUAUAUGUGCCUGUGUUUGCAGGCUGAUUGCUCUCUGCAUUCUGAAAAUUCAUGCUAUAUGUGCUUGUGUUUGCAGGCUGAUUGCUCUCUGCAUUCUGAAAAUUUAUGCUACAUGUGCCUGUGUCUGCAGGCUGAUUGCUCUGUGCAUUCAGAAAAUUUAUGCAAUGUAUGCCUGUGUUUGCAGGCUUAGGAUUGGUGCUGCCGCACCGAGCAGAACACCAUGCCCAAAUCGAAUCAGUGCGUUUGAGAAGGCAGUCAGGUGUUGCGGAGAGAACCCAGCUGAAAACGUGAUCACACCGGUUCUCGGUACUAGUUUCGACUCUUUGGGCGAAACAUACGACUUGUGUGUACAUGUAGGUGGAUAUCAUCGGAAAGCACGCAGUUUAUGUUGCAUGCUGUAG